GCCAUCAGGUUCUCCUGAUGGCAUGCUUGUUGGAGCGCCGAUCUUUCUCUCACACCAUCUUGUGUGGUGCGAGGUUCUGCUCCUACCAGGAGUUAAAAGAAUGGAAGUGCACACGUUAGAUAACUCUGUGCAGUUACACUACAAUCUUUUGGCCCCCAAUCAAGCAAGGC
rnacentral:misc_RNA from 1 species